AGUGAACGCUGGCGGUAGGCCUAACACAUGCAAGUCGAACGGAAGCACAGUAAGAGCUUGCUCUUACGGGUGGCGAGUGGCGGGCGGGUGAGGCAUACAUCGGAAUCUACUUUUUCGUGGGGGAUAACGUAGGGACACAUACGCUAAUACCGCAUACGACCAACGGGUGAAAGCAGGGGAUCUUCGGGCCUUGCGCGAUUGUAUGAGCCGAUGUCGGAUUAGCUAGUUGGCGGGGUAAAGGCCUACCAAGGCGACGAUCCGUAGCUGGUCUGAGAGGAUGAUCAGCCACACUGGAACUGAGACACGGUCCAGACUCCUACGGGAGGCAGCAGUGGGGAAUAUUGGACAAUGGGCGCAAGCCUGAUCCAGCCAUGCCGCGUGGGUGAAGAAGGCCUUCGGAUUGUAAAGCCCUUUUGUUGGGAAAGAAAAGCAGCAGGUUAAUACCCCGCUGUUCUGACGGUACCCAAAGAAUAAGCACCGGCUAACUUCGUG
rnacentral:rRNA from 1 species